GCUUGUCUCAAAGAUUAAGCCAUGCAUGUCUCAGUACAAGCCAAAUUAAGGUGAAACCGCAAAAGGCUCAUUAAAUCAGUUAUGGUUCCUUAGAUCGUACCCACAAUUACUUGGAUAACUGUGGUAAUUCUAGAGCUAAUACAUGCAAACAGAGCUCCGACCGGAGACGGGAGGAGUGCUUUUAUUAGAUCAAAACCAAUCGGUGGCGGGUUCGCGCUCGUCAUCGUACAACUUGGUGACUCUGAAUAACUUUAAGCUGAUCGCACGGUCAUCGCACCGGCGACGCAUCUUUCAAAUGUCUGACUUAUCAACUGUCGAUGGUAGGUUCUGCGCCUACCAUGGUUGUAACGGGUAACGGGGAAUCAGGGUUCGAUUCCGGAGAGGGAGCCUGAGAAACGGCUACCACAUCCAAGGAAGGCAGCAGGCGCGCAAAUUACCCACUCCCGGCACGGGGAGGUAGUGACGAAAAAUAACGAUACGGGACUCAUCCGAGGCCCCGUAAUCGGAAUGAGUACACUCUAAACCCUUUAACGAGGAUCAAUUGGAGGGCAAGUCUGGUGCC
rnacentral:rRNA from 1 species